rnacentral:rRNA from 1 species
GGGGAAUAUUGGACAAUGGGCGCAAGCCUGAUCCAGCCAUGCCGCGUGAGUGAUGACGGUCUUAGGAUUGUAAAGCUCUUUCACCGGUGAAGAUAAUGACGGUAACCGGAGAAGAAGCCCCGGCUAACUUCGUGCCAGCAGCCGCGGUAAUACGAAGGGGGCUAGCGUUGUUCGGAUUUACUGGGCGUAAAGCGCACGUAGGCGGACUUUUAAGUCAGGGGUGAAAUCCCGGGGCUCAACCCCGGAACUGCCUUUGAUACUGGAAGUCUUGAGUAUGGAAGAGGUGAGUGGAAUUCCGAGUGUAGAGGUGAAAUUCGUAGAUAUUCGGAGGAACACCAGUGGCGAAGGCGGCUCACUGGUCCAUUACUGACGCUGAGGUGCGAAAGCGUGGGGGGCAAAC